CUCCAAGGUUUUCCAAAGAAAUCUUCUUUUAUUCCAAAAAGUAAAUCAACGUUUCAGCUCCUGUUCGGAGCUUUCACCAGGACACAUCCUGAUUUACUUUUUGGAAUAAAAGAAUAUUUCUUUGGAAAACCUUGGA
rnacentral:miRNA from 1 species